rnacentral:misc_RNA from 1 species
UCCGGUUUGUCACCGGCAGUCCCAUUAGAGUGCUCAACUGAAUGUAGCAACUAAUGGCAAGGGUUGCGCUCGUUGCGGGACUUAACCCAACAUCUCACGACACGAGCUGACGACAGCCAUGCAGCACCUGUGUUACGGCUCCCUUUCGGGCACACCUCCAUCUCUGAAGGCUUCCGUACAUGUCAAGGGUAGGUAAGGUUUUUCGCGUUGCAUCGAAUUAAACCACAUGCUCCACCGCUUGUGCGGGUCCCCGUCAAUUCCUUUGAGUUUUAAACUUGCGUUCGUACUCCCCAGGCGGAUCACUUAACGCGUUAGCUUCGUGACGCAGGGGGUCGCUCCCCCCGACGCCUAGUGUCCAUCGUUUACGGCGUGGACUAC